UAGUACGUCUAAAAUGAAGGUCACUUCUCUUACUAGUAAUUCUGGGAGGAACUUGUACCAGUAAUAAAUGUCUGACUGCACUAUUCUGAUGAACGACUAUCUGUGAUUAUAUUUCAAUGGGGCUGUGCAUUUGGCCUCAACUAAGCUGCAAAUUAUAUUAGUUUUCUCAGUCUUGAUUUGACCUAAUAAAUUAAUCUCAUCACCUUUUUCCUUGUCUAAAAUGUAGGUCACUUUUCUUACUAGUAAUUCUGGGAGGAACUUGUACUAGUAGUGAGAUGCUCGGAGGUUUCUUACCUUUACCAUUCUGAAAUGUGGUCAUUUCUCUUACUAGUAAUUGUUGGAGAAACUUGGGCUAGUAGUAAACUUCUGACUGGCACCAUUUUGAUGAACGACUGUGUGUUUCAUCUAUAUGGCUGAGUACUACUUCUUCAAUAGAGUUGAACAUUUGGCCUGAACUAAGCUGCAAUUUCUAUUAGUUUUGUCAGUAUUGGAUUUGACCUGAUAUAUUAUCCUUGAAAGUUUUCCUUUGUGCGCUGUGCUGCUGGACGUAUACUAGAUAUUCACCAUUUCAUAAUGCUGGGAAAACCGUGGGACCAAACCUUUGACAACUAUUGUCAAUAUCCAGCAAGCUGUUCAUGAUAUGAUGACCAUGCUGUGCCUUUACAUCCAUUGAAGUUGUUAGCAGUAAGUUAGUUUCUAUAUUGCAUAUCUCCUUUGCAUCAAAUGGAAACAUGCAGUUUCUAUUGUAUUGAAAAGGCAUGAACAAAGCUACGUUCUGUGCUAAUGUACAUGCCUAAGUGGGCAGGUACAGAACAAGAAACAGGGCAAAGGAAAGAGGGGCCAGCAGGAUGUACACUACUUGCUGCUAUCUCAAGGUGCAGACAUGAAACAGAGCAAAGAAAGGGAACAAGAAACAGAGUAAAGAAAGGGAAAUAUGUUGUGUCUAAUGUACUGGGCAGACAUGUUAUCAGGUACAGCCCUUAUCCAAGGAUGUUCUUCUUCAAGGUGCAGACAUGAUGAAUUCUCAGGAUAGAAGUGCUUUAGGCUCUUACCACCCUUUGUCCAGUACGUGUGGUUCUGUUUUGGCUUGCUGUUAUAGUUGUAAGAAGGGGACGUUCUUACAACACGUUUGCAGCUUUCAUCGAAAUUCUUAGCGCGUUUGGUGAUAAUGUUACCGUGCCACUAGGUUUCCGUGCUAAGCCAGUAGCUGUUUGACAAAAAUGGUGUGGGGUGGGUUUCCUGCUGAUUGUAGGCUAAGCUGUCAAAACUAUUUAUAACUGAUAAGAGCGCAUGGUCUGUUUAGUUUGAGAAACAGUUUAUAACAGAGAUUCCUUGGUUUACUUUCUAGCUUGCCAACAACGACCAAAAAGGAGGACAAAAAAAGAAAAAAGAAAAACGCUGUCCCUCUGCAGUAUGAAGCUAUUCCUAACAAAGGUCUUCAUGCUUGACCCUCUGCAGUACAAAGGUUGACAAGGGAGCCCAUCCAAUAGCUUUCAUGCACUUCUUUGUAUCAUCGCUAACAUCGAUAUUCAGCUUCCUCAGAUUUUGUAGCUGGCCAAAAUAUAGAAGAAAUUAAAUUGGCUGCUUAAAAUGCUCUGACCUGUUUCAACAUCUCUAGAGCUUGCAUCUCCCCAAUUCCUCCUUCCGGAAAUUUGAACUCAUCUAGAGAAGGGAUUUCCCACAACAAUCCAGAUACUUGAAGUGAUCGGGAAUGAGACAAUAGUAGGCGAAUCUCUAGAAAAGAAUCGCUCUCCUUGGUAGCCUGUAUCAUGAACUUGUCUGUCUCCAUAGGUUGGAUCAAACUUCUAUUCACGAGCUCAGUAAAAACACCUCUAUCCUAACUCAUGUACUGCGUAUCUUCCUUCUCCAUGAAAGUAUCCUUCAGGAAUCGAACUUCUUAUUGGGUCUUUCAUCUUAAUAGUAGAUCAUUUUCUGAACAUAUUGAGGUAUAAGAGAUGUGUUUUUAGAUGAGGAUGAAAACCACAUUAACAAAGUGACAAAAUCAUCAUCAUUUUUUCUGCGACGUCACUUGUUUCAAGUGCACAACCAACUGAAUCUGCUAUGUGAUUUAUGAGUGAUAUUAGUGUGGCUUUACUGUGGACAAAAAACACUGAAAUACAAUUAAAGAUACAUAGUUCUUCUUGACAAACUAGCGUCAAUAAGAAAAGGAGGGACAGAUGAUUAAAUGGCAUAACGCAUGAGAGGGCCACCAUAUUAAUGCCUCCAAUUUUUUAGAUGAUGGUAUUUUCAACAUUUGUUGGGUCUCUAAUUAAGCAACACUAUAUAGGAAUCGAGAGUACCAAAAAAGGCAUGGCCAACAUUUUCCACCGUGCAUUUACUUGGCGUCAAAAUAUAUAAUGGCUUAAUUUUAUUGAGGGUGUACGACAAUCAACAACACUGAUACAUGAGACAAUAUUAGGUGAAAACCACAUCUUCAGUGAAAGGUUGGAAACUUUACCACAGGCUGUUGGAUCUUGUAUGUAUGGACUAGAUCCAUCCAUAACUGCUACAUGCAGUUUUGCAGAAAAACGCCCGCCCCAGCAAUGUUGUUCUGCACACGACCUCUGACGCAUACAAGUAUUACAGCUAGCUACCCCGUCACGUGUGGGGCUUCGGCACAUGUCCCCACCUAUUUGUGUUGAUUGCGUGAAAUUGAACGAAGACAAAAAUUGAACGAUGGGUACUACCCAGUUCCCUUGUAAAUUUAAGUAGAACAAACAAUAAAAUACAUUAGCUAAAAUCAUUGCCCAGAUAAAUGACGAAACCACAACCAAAACCAUUGCCCAGUUGAAGAACUCAUGCACCUCACAUAGCACAUUUCCAGCAAUUGAAACAAUUUCCUAGAAUAUAUUUAAGUAAAGCAAAACUCAUGCAUCUGAUUCAGUCACUUAAAUAAUGCCCACACUCCAAUACACGGUUACAAAAUAGAUGCAUCAUUAACAGUGAUGGCAAAUCUACACCUUUAUACAUCAGUCAUUGAACACAUAGCUCUAGUACACUAGCUAACAACUUGCAGAUGCCCGGCCCCAACAGAUAAUACCUCCAGUACACUAGCUAACAACUUGAAGAAGUUCGGCGCCAAUAGCUAAUAGCUCCAUUACACUAGAGAAGAACAUAAUAAUGUAAUACUAUUAGUCCUAAAAACUUGCAGAGGUUGGUAGGGCCACCAAGCAAUCUGAAACAAAAAAAUUAAUUGGUCAAGCAGUAGGAAAAUUGCAAGAAUUUAUACCUAAUUUUUUAAAUCAAUUUUUAAUCCUAAUCUAUGAACAUAGAUACAUCAGUGCAUGUGUAUUUAUUAGGAAGCAAAAUUUUAGAAAUAUUCUCAAACUAAGUCCAGAGGAAUGUACCGCCAUCAUGUUUGCUGCACUUCCUUGUUCUUGUUCUUGUCUUUCUGUCUUCGCUUUCCACCCUUAUCCUUAUAUCCCUUUAGUCCUUUUAUUCUACCUCAUGAUGUGCAUAAGCUUCAUAGAAAUCCUUGGCUGCGUUCAAAUCUGUAAAAGUCAUCCCUAUGGCCGGCCUGAUGUCAUCAUCACACUCCGGGGUACAAGAUGAGCCAUGAAAUGUGGAUGAAAAGCACAAUGGUUUAACAUGCUGGAAUACAAGAAAUUAUAAGCAUGCACAUAUUAGUUAGACAAGUACUUACACAGAAAGGUGCGCUAUACAAUUUUUGUUGUGUGGCAAAUACAAUUUCCGGGCUUGGUCUAGUGUGGAUGGCUUAUUCUGCAUCAGACUGGGAGUUGCAAAUAGCCAAAGGUGGUCCCUUGCUCACUUCACCGUGGCAUUCCAUAAUUACUCCACAAAGAGAAGAAAUACAGUUUGUAAGUUGAAAGCACACUCUCAUAGGAGCCAGCCAAUAUGUGCCUUCCAGAAUAACAUAGAAUAAAAUAAACUGCUAGAAAGAACAUUCAAGUGUUAGCAGUACCUAAUCUCAGCUCACUUCACCGAUCAAUUGCAAUAUAAAUUGAAACUGACAGCUAAAAUAAUUUCUACAAUUUUUCUAUGCUCAACCAGUUUCAACUCCUUUCUUAUGCCCAUCAUACUACACACAAGUCUACAAGAAGUAAGGCUGAAGUUUUAGAACCUGUAGUAUUCUCAAAACCGUGGGGUUUUUUUGUGUGUCUAGAAAAGAGGUCCCGGCCCAUUUUUUCUAAACCAAAUGAGACGAAAUUGUUUAUGUCCCUAUCCAUGACCAGAUAAGAAUAGAUGUGAUCUCUACCUUUGAUUUCUCCUCAUUCUGUUAUAUGGUAAAUUAGUUGUAAUAUAUCUCUUGCUUAUUAGCCAUUUUGGGUUGCUUAAGUUGUGCUCUCGGAUCCAUUUUCUUCCAGCUGUCGUCACAAUUACUUUUGAUCUAGUUGAUUGGUGAACCUUGAUCAAUCAUGUACCUCCAGGUUAGAUUAAUUAAGCAAUUUCAUGCCAGUUGUGCUGGUCAAAACCAUGGUAAAACAACAUCCAAACACCUUGAUAUUUUUGGUAAAACUGAGGAAAACUACAAUUUCAAGAACAUUUAGUAUUUCUUGCCUAGGCAUUGGAAUACUGCGGUUUUGGAUUACCACAGUUUUGUAAAAAUUGUGCUGCCAAACUAAGCCUGAUAGUUUCCUUCAUUUAACAACUAUACAGUAACAAAUAUGCCUAGAACCACCAAUAUGGUAAACAAUAUUGUCAAAUUAGCAUGAUGGGGUCUCCAUGUUGCUGCAUUAAUAUAAAACUUACUUAUGCAAUGCAUUAGUCUUUACCAACUUCUUGAAGACCAAAAUCUGGACAGUAGAGUUAGCAGCAAUCAGCAGUUCCAGCCAAGAUACUACUACCUCAUUCCCUCCCCUACUCUAUUUGCUUUGCUUUGCAUACCUAUCCCAACUAGAAGUGCUAGUCUUGGAGGAGACAACCAGAACCCACGACCUUGUCAUCUCUUUUGCUUUGCAAACCUAGCCCAACCGACAGAUAAAAACACUAGUUGAGCUACGAUAAGAAGAACGUGGCAAAACAUAACACAGAAGAUGAACAAUGUAAUAGAAAGGUCCAUACCUUCAGACCUAGAUCCAGUACCAACCCGAUGGGGAAUGCCCAGAGGACGAUUGGCUCGCUGGGCCAGCUGCCGGAGAGGAGAGAAGGCCGAUGAAGAAUUAGUCGCGUCAGUCGCCGGCCCUGCGCGGAACGAGGGCGUUGUGCUGGGUUGGCGCGAUGGGCCAGCCGCCGGAGAGGAGAGAGGGAAUUAGCUGCGGCCGCCGGCCGCAGGUGUCAUCUCCUAACCCUAGUUGUUGAUGGGGAAAAAUUGAAUCGGGGUAGCUCCAAGGGGAAAGGCACGGGAUGGCUCAUCUUCCAUCAGGGAUGUUGUACCGAGGUAUAGGAAGAUUACGGGGGUUCUUUUGCGAUUCCUCCAUCUUUUCAUCUCACAACGUACACUCCUUAUCCAACGGUCAAGUUUCCAUGCUUCCACUGAAUAUAUGGUUUCCAUCAGAUAUGUACUCCUGAUACAUAUCGCCACAGAGAUCUGCAAGCUCUAUGUGCUCUGAUCAAUUGUAUGGUGGGACAGAAAGAGGGAGUGUAGCCAGGGCCGGUCCUGAGGUUUCGGGGGCCCGGGGCGAAUCUAGAACUCGGGGCCCUUUAGUAUCAACAGGGACAUAAUAAUCAAUAUGUCUAUAUAUGAGAUGUACCAAACAUUAUUUCAUGUGCACUGAAAGGCAGUACUCAUAUCAAAUUACAUAUGCACAUCUUAGAAAUUUCUUACAACAUUCUGCGAUGCAUCAUUAUCAAUCUCAUCUAGUAAUUGUAGUUGCUGGAUGCAUGCCUUUUACUAGGUGACAUGAGGUGCUGAAAUUUAAAGAAAUAAUUGGUAAUUCAAAACGAGCUGGAACAUACAAAAAUACUAAAUCAGUUAAUAAAAUCUUACCGAUUGUAAAGUCGAGCGCUCACAAAUUACAAGUGCAUAAAGCCCAAUAAUAUGUCACUUAACAGUGUCCAGUCAGUCGACGAUCGUCAAUGUCCUAUUGUAAUAAUCAUAACACGGUCAUGAUCUGUAACUUUGUAGAAAUCACUAAGGCAUAGGCUUGUAGGCUACCUUUUCUGCUGGAUUCGUGUGUGGCCGCGUGGACAGCGGAGACUGCCGAUUGCCACUGGCCGUUCCCGUGCCCUCCUCGCUGCUGUUCAAUCUGUUCCUAGCGGCCGCAGCGGCUGUAGGCGCUACGAGGACGAGAGGUGAUGGAGUCAAGCUUAGGGAUAAGUCCAUGCGGUUGUCAAAGGCGAUGGCGUCGCUAGGUGAUCUAGGAUUAGGUAAAACAGAAGGCAAUCAGACCAAUCAGGCGAGAAAUCAUUCUGUCCCGUGCCAUCUGCGAGCAUCGUGCGACUCAUACGCGCGUGAUGGGGGCUGGAAUCUUGGACGUUCAGUUCAGUUAUAUCCAAUUGCUAUUUUGACCAGGCCAGAUUCAACACGACAACACAUACAACAUUGCAUUAUUUUUCUUCUCUAACAGGCUUAAUCUAUAUUAAGUGCACGUACCUGGGGCGCCCCUCUGUUCUGGGGGCCCGGGGCGGUCGCCCCCCUGUCCCCCCAUCAGGACCGGGCCUGAGUGUAGCACCCAGGUGCUCUGAUAAAGUGCAUUUCCCAUGGCAUGGAUAUAUAUUCUACACAAUGUGCACACAAACAAAAGCAAACUAGCUAGUUCUAGAAUAACAUGACUGUAUUUUGCUAGCAUUAAAGGGUUGUAGCACUACAAGAAAUAUGUCAAUUAGUGACCUUCUGUAAGUGACCCUGGAAGAAUUGGUCAUAGAUCUAUGACCAUUUCAGACUAAUUGGUCAAAAGCUGUUGGGGGGGGGGGCUCCAAAACCUUCCUUGCCUAGUUCAAAAAUAAUUCAACAAUAUUCAUUUUCCUAUUCUAUUCAAAACAACACUUUAUGAAGGAAGUACCACUUUGGCAUGUCCAAAUAGUAUCCAUUUUCUACGGUUCUUUCAUAUGCCCAAAUAACCAUCCUCCACCAAAUGCCACCUCAAUCCAUUCAUUAUUUUGAGCACAGCUUCAACAUUCGUAUUUAUGUCCAGUGUGGUACUUUGCAAAGCAAGUACCACCUAGGCUCCUCCUUUUGAGCUGAAAAUUUGUGAAGACGGUAUUCUUAGUAACUGAUCAUCCUUAGCAAAACUCACGCCCAUUAGCCAUGUACAUUUCCCGUACCGCUAAUCAAACACUUGUCUGCUAAUUCAUGUUUGAGCAUCAAUCGGUCUCCUCCUGAGAAUCUUAUGUUGUAAUUUUCUUCCUAGCACCUACCUGGGGAUGCCCAACCCACUAGACAUGCCUGGGCUGCCCAGAACACAAGGCAACGCCAUGGUCACGCGGUGACCACGCGGCGGGCAUGCGAGUUUACGCGCUCUAGAGUUGGGGGCCUCGGCCACCGCCCAAACCUCGACGUAUCGCCACCAAACCAUUUAUUUAUGAUUAAAUAGGUACUUAUGUAACUAGAAAUGAUUUUUGGAAAAAAUAAAUAGAAAACUAUAGGCAGCUGCAGUUCAAAUUUGACCCGCUUCCUGCUGAAUCGGCGGAAAUUUGUCUUUUUCACAAGAGGUGAAUCAAAACUUUUUACGCCCAAACAUUUUGUCAAUUGUGCAUUAAAUAUGUCCUAGUAUUUUAGAAAAAUGAUUUGGUCCAAUUUUGCAACAAUUAUUUGGGAGGUCCUUCACAAAAAAAACCUCCUUUUUGGCACUCGAAAAAUGGAAAAUGGUUUUUUCGUCCAAAGAAAAUGAAAAGUUUCUUAUGCAAUAUUGUUUGCCAUUCCAAUAUGCACCCUUGUGCACAAUAUGAGAUCAUUUGAACAAACUAUGCCAUGAAUGUGGCCAUAAGAUUGAUCAUUUGGCUUGAAAGUCACUGAUCUCCACACGUGAUAGCUCGUUUCUGAGAACAAUUUUUUAAAAUAAUUGUCGUAUUACAAGUUUGUUAUUUUUCCUGGGAACUUGGCCACAUAUAAUGACACAAUGCGAAGUUUUGCCAAUUUUUUGAAUUUUUUAUGGUCGUUUCAAAAUACGGUCAAAAUGGUGGGAAUGACCGUUCCUAGCUAGUGGUUGAAUCUUGGAAAUUUUUUGGUGUUUUUCUAAUUAAAUAGAUACUUAUGUACCUAUAAAUGAUUUUUGAAAAAAAUAAAGAGCAAACUACAAGGCAGCUACAGUUCAAAUUUGACCCGCUUCCAACUGAAUCAGCGGAAAUUUAUCUUUCUCACGAGAGGUGGAUCAAAACUUUUUACACCCAACCAUUUGGUCAAUUGUGCAUUAAAUAUGGCCUAGUAUUUUAGAAAAUGAGUUGGUCCAAUUUUGCAACAAUUAUUUGGUAGGUUCUUCACAAAAAACCCGCCUUUUGGGCACUCGAAAAAUGUAAAAUGGUUUUUUCGUCCAAAGAAAAUGAAAACUUCUUUAGGCAAUAUUAUUUGCCAUUCCAAGAUGCACCCUUUUGCACAAUAUGAGACCAUUUGAACAAACUAUGCCAUGAAUAUGACCAUAAGAUUGAUCAUAUGGCUUGAAAGCCAUUAAUCUCCACACAUGAUAGCUCGUUUCUAAAAACAUUUUUUUGAAAUAAUUGCCGUAUUACAAUUUUAUUAUUUUUCCUGACAACUUGGUCAUAUGUAAUGACACAAUGCGAAUGUUUUCCAAAUUUUUUUUUGAAUUUUUUAUGCCCGUUUCAAAAUGCGGUCAAAACAGCGGGCAUGACCGUUCCUAGCUAGUGGUUGAAUCUUGGAUUUUUUUGGUGUUUCUCUGAUUAAAUAGAUACUUAUGUACCUAGAAAUUAAACAACAAACUAUGAGGUAGUUGUAGUUCAAAUUUGACCCGCUUCCAACUGAAUUGGCAGAAAUUUAUCUGUUUCACGAGAGUUGCAUCAAAGCUUUUGACACCCACCCAUUAGGUCAAUUGUGCAUUAAAUAUGGUCGAAUGUUUUUAAAAAAAUGAUUUGGUCCAAUUUUGCAACAAAUAUAUGGUAGGUCCUUAACAAAAAAACUCAUUUUGGGCACUCAAAAAAUGGAAAAUGGCUCUUUUGUGCAAUGAAAGUGAAAAUCCCCCAAAUCAACAUUGUUUGUCAUCCCAAGAUAUACACGUGUGCACACUAUUGGUUCAUUUUAGCAAACUAUAAGUGGUUAAUAUGUUGAAUGUUUACCCUGAAUUAGAGGGUGAAAAUUAUAAGAGAAACAAAAGAAAAAAAACUACCUAAGCUUAUUUCUGAUUGGUGGAAUCACUUGUGGCUUGGAUCGAUGACUUGGCAAACAUCAGUCCAUCCAUCCAUCCACCCAUCCCAUCCCACGGCAGCAAAACCCCCCUCUCUCGCGCGAACCCCACCCAACCCCUCUCUCUCUCGUGCGAACCCUAGCGCUGCACUCCUCCCCCUUGCCGCCGCCACCUCUGGCGCCCGAUCCUGGCAACCUCUGGCGGGAAUCCUACCGUCCUCUUCUCACCCCCACCGCCGUGGAUCGCCCUGUACCAUACCUCUCCCUCUCUCCCAUGGCGCCAAAUCAUUUUGUCUACAACAUACUCAUAUCUGCAUAUGCUCAAGAAGAAACGGUUGGUGAGGUAAUGCAUAUAUUUACAAAAAUGCGGCAGGAAGGAUUGAACCCUGAUGUUGCGAACUAUGGAGCGGUAAUAAACUUGCUUUCUAGUAUUGGCCGAAUGGAUGAUGCUAUGUCCCAAUACAAUCAAAUGAUAACUGAAGGAUUACUCCCUGGUAUCAUUGUUUUCACCCCCCUUAUUAGUGGUUUCUGUUCUUGUGGCAAAUGGGAGAAGGUUCCUGAACUAUUUUCUGAGAUGUUGGAUCGCGGCAUCUGUCCCAACACAGUGUUCUUCAACACAAUUAUGGAUCGCCUUUGCAAAAAUGGAAGGGUUAUGGAAGCCCAGGAUCUCUUCGACCUGAUGGUACACAUGGGUGUGAAGCCUGAUGUGUGUACUUAUAACACACUGAUAGGUGGAUACUUGUUCGUUGGUAAGAUGGAUGAAGUAAGGAAGUUACUUGACAAUAUGGUCUCAAUUGGCUUGAAACCAGAUGUUAUCACAUAUAGCAUACUGAUUGAUGGUUACUCUAAGAAUGGAAGGAUAGAUGAUGCAUUGGUUUUUUCCAGGGAAAUGUUGGCCGGGAAGGUUAAGCCUUGUGUUAUCACUUUUAAUAUUAUGAUUGGUGCAUUGCUUAAAUGUGGCAGGAAGGCAGAAACCAAAGAUUUGUUUGAUGGUAUCUGGGCCAACGGAUUAGUGCCCGACGUUAUUACAUAUAGCUUAAUGAUACAAAAACUUAUUGAAGAAGGUUCUCUACAAGAGUCUGAUGAUCUAUUCCUUUCUAUGGAGAAGAAUGGAUGUGUUGCCGACUCCCAUAUGCUAAAUGCUAUAGUUAGAAGCUUACUUCGGAAAGGGGAGGUGCCCAGGGCUGGGACUUAUCUAUCUAAAAUUGAUGAGAGGGUGUUCACCCUUGAAGCUUCCACUUGCUUCAGGGGGGAAAGGCCAAGAAUAUAAGGGGUUACUCCCUGAAAAAUACUCUGAACUGCUAAUCGAGGCCUGAACUUUUGUUUGUCGGACACAUCUCCCAAUCUUUUCUAUUUGCAGUACGUCUAAAAUGAAGGUCACUUCUCUUACUAGUAAUUCUGGGAGGAACUUGUACCCGUAGUAAAUGUCUGACUGUGCGCUAUUCUGAUGAACGACUAUCUGUGUUUCUAUAUGGCUGCCUUCUUUUUCAAUGGGGCUGUGCAUUUGGCCUCAACUAAGCUGCAAAUUAUAUUAGUUUUUUCAGUCUUGAUUUGACCUAAUAAAUUAAUCUCAACGCCUUUUUCCUUGUCUG
rnacentral:lncRNA from 1 species